rnacentral:rRNA from 1 species
UACGAGAGGGGCGAGCGUUACCCGGAUUAAUUGGGCGUAAAGGGUCCGUAGGCGGUAUUUUGUAUGCUUUUGGUAAAAGGCAAGGGCUUAACUCUUGGAAUGCCUUAAGAACAGAUAUACUAGAGUAUAGUAGAGGAUAGUAGAAUUCCAUGUGGAGGGGUGGAAUCCUAAGAUAUAUGGAGGAAUGCCAGUAGCGAAAGCGACUAUCUGGACUAUUACUGACGUUGAGGGACGAAAGCGUAGGGAGCAAACAGG